rnacentral:rRNA from 1 species
AAGGAUCAUUACCGAGAUAGGGGCUCCGGCCCCGAACCUCCAACCCCUGUCUACCCACCUUUGUUGCUUUGGCGGGCCCGUGUCCGGGCUGGUCCCGGCACCUCCGCCCCCGGGGUGUGCCCGUCGAAGGCCCUUUCCAAACUCGUUUAUCGGUGCAGUCUGAGCAAAUAACCAAUAAUUAAAACUUUCAACAACGGAUCUCUUGGUUCUGGCAUCGAUGAAGAACGCAGCGAAAUGCGAUAAGUAAUGUGAAUUGCAGAAUUCAGUGAAUCAUCGAAUCUUUGAACGCACAUUGCGCCCUUUGGUACUCCAAGGGGCAUGCCUGUCCGAGCGUCAUUAAACCCCUCAAGCUUCUCUGGGCUUGGUCUUGGGCCUUCCACCCCCCGGGUGGGCCCCAAAGUCAUUGGCAGUCCUGUCCGGCUUCAAGCGUAGUAGUUCUCCCGCUUUGGAAGCCCCGGGCCGGGCCCGCCAGAUAACCACCCCCUUCUACAAUUGACCUCGGAUCAGGUAGGGAUACCCGCUGAACUUAA